rnacentral:lncRNA from 10 species
CAAGCGGGAGGCCCUCCACAAGGAGACUCCUGUUGCUGUGACGAUUUUUCCUGGUUCUCAGUCCCUGGACUCUGGGAUAGCUGAGAUCUUCUGGCUCUCGCCUCACAUAGCAUCUCACAGUGAUGUCCUGGCUUCCUGCCUAGGCCCCAAUCACCAGUUCUGGUGCUGACCCUGCAGGUCCUAGCUCCCUCCCAGCCGGCCUAGAGACAGGGCCCAGGCUCAUUGGAAGGAACAACAGGAGACUUGCCUGAAAGCCAAAUGUUCUACCCAACAGGACCUGAUUAUGGUGGCCAAGGGGCUGUACCUGGGCAGUCUCACCCAAGGGACACUUCUCAGGGGUCAGGAGAAUUUCAGCUCUGUGUUUACACAUGAUUCUAGGCUGAGGGAGAGAGAAAAAGCAGGGUAGGGGGUGGCAGAUUAGGCGAGGGAAUGUGUCCCCUAGAUGGUCCCUUAGCUCAUAGUGGAAGUGGGCUCUAGAGCGCCUUGCCCAUGCCCUCUUCAUGCUCUAGAGAGGUGGGCAAAGGACAAAGUAUGCGACUACCCAGGAGAACCAGCCUCCAGAUUGAGAUUGGAGAUGAAGGCCACUCAGUCCCCUCCAUUGCAAAAAGAAUAAAAGAAAGGAGUAGGAUUGGCCAUUGCUUGCAAAUAAACAGGAGGGGGCAGUGUUGGGGUAAUGACCUCCAUCCGGGGAGGGUCAGGAAGGGAGCUGUCCUUUACUGGGCACCCAGGAGAUGCACCUGUACAAUUUCAUUCAUUCUCACGACCACCUCGUUAGGUAGGCACUAUCUCUGUGGCUCCAUUUGGCCAAUGAAAAGGAUGAAGAUCUGAGAAGUCAAGUUACACUGCUAGGAAGAGGUUGACUUGGAGUGGAAACCCAGGACUGCCUGUCUGACUGCUGAAUGGGUGCUUUGCGUUCCUUACCUGCCCUCCCAGGGCUCCAGACCGUCCCUCCUGCACAUCUGCCUCUCCCAGGCCGUGCCUGCAUGUCCCCAGCCCCCUCCAACAGCUCCAUCUCCCGAGAGCUCCUUGAAUCUCCUCACUCACUCCUCACUCUUGCUUCCUCUUUGGAAUCCAGCCACAGGCUUUUUUCUUCCAUCUGAGGGAGAGAAAAUGGUCUCGUUCCCCACCCCCAGGUCUUUC